rnacentral:tRNA from 1 species
ACUAAUCUAGCCAGGGAAAGCGUCUGCCUAUAAUGCAGGAGACCUGGGUUCGAUCCCUGGGUUGGGA